GGAUAACCUUGCGAAAGUAAGACUAAUACCCAAUGAUAUCUCUAGAAGACAUCUGAAAGAGAUUAAAGAUUUAUCGGUGAUGGAUGGGGAUGCGUCUGAUUAGCUUGUUGGCGGGGUAACGGCCCACCAAGGCAACGAUCAGUAGGGGUUCUGAGAGGAAGGUCCCCCACAUUGGAACUGAGACACGGUCCAAACUCCUACGGGAGGCAGCAGUGAGGAAUAUUGGUCAAUGGACGAGAGUCUGAACCAGCCAAGUAGCGUGCAGGAAGACGGCCCUAUGGGUUGUAAACUGCUUUUAUAAGGGAAUAAAGUUAGUCUCGUGAGACUUUUUGCAUGUACCUUAUGAAUAAGGACCGGCUAAUUCCGUGCCAGCAGCCGCGGUAAUACGGAAGGUCCGGGCGUUAUCCGGAUUUAUUGGGUUUAAAGGGAGCGUAGGCCGGAGAUUAAGCGUGUUGUGAAAUGUAGACGCUCAACGUCUGCACUGCAGCGCGAACUGGUUUCCUUGAGUACGCACAAAGUGGGCGGAAUUCGUGGUGUAGCGGUGAAAUGCUUAGAUAUCACGAAGAACUCCGAUUGCGAAGGCAGCUCACUGGAGCGCAACUGACGCUGAAGCUCGAAAGUGCGGGUAUCGAACAGGAUUAGAUACCCUGGUAGUCCGCACGGUAAACGAUGGAUGCCCGCUGUUGGUCUGAAUAGGUCAGCGGCCAAG
rnacentral:rRNA from 1 species